CACCUUUAAAAAAAACACACGUGGCUUCUAGAAUAAUUGUUUACAGAGUUUACAGGAAAUGUGUUAAAACAUCACUUAUUAUAUAACAUGUACCUUACAUAUUGACAAGAAAAAUGAUGAGCUGGUACCGUGUUUUCAUCUGCUUUUCAAGUUUUUAAUGUAUGGUUCCCCUCCCUUUUAGGUUGCUACAAGAUUACUACAGUUUUCAGCCAUGCUCAGACAGUGGUUCUUUGUGUGGGUUGUUCAACCGUGCUGUGCCAGCCCACAGGAGGGAAAGCCAGGCUCACAGAAGGCUGUUCAUUUAGAAGAAAGCAACACUAAUCAUCUAUACAAGUUCCUGAAUUCGUGUUUUUCACAGAAAGCCUUAUCAACUUUAGUUACUCUACCAAGACAAUGUAAUUAUUGUUUGAUUUUAUAAAGUCUACAACAAUGAUCUCCUAUUUUGGUGUCAGUUUUUCAAUAAAGUUUUACUUAUGAACAA
rnacentral:lncRNA from 1 species